AAGUCGAGCGGAUGAGAGGAGCUUGCUCUGGAUUCAGCGGCGGACGGGUGAGUAAUGCCUAGGAAUCUGCCUGGUAGUGGGGGACAACGUUUCGAAAGGAACGCUAAUACCGCAUACGUCCUACGGGAGAAAGCAGGGGACCUUCGGGCCUUGCGCUAUCAGAUGAGCCUAGGUCGGAUUAGCUAGUUGGUGAGGUAAUGGCUCACCAAGGCGACGAUCCGUAACUGGUCUGAGAGGAUGAUCAGUCACACUGGAACUGAGACACGGUCCAGACUCCUACGGGAGGCAGCAGUGGGGAAUAUUGGACAAUGGGCGAAAGCUGAUCCAGCCAUGCCGCGUGUGUGAAGAAGGUCUUCGGAUUGUAAAGCACUUUAAGUUGGGAGGAAGGGUUGUAGAUUAAUACUCUGCAAUUUUGACGUUACCGACAGAAUAAGCACCGGCUAACUCUGUGCCAGCAGCCGCGGUAAUACAGAGGGUGCAAGCGUUAAUCGGAAUUACUGGGCGUAAAGCGCGCGUAGGUGGUUUGUUAAGUUGGAUGUGAAAUCCCCGGGCUCAACCUGGGAACUGCAUCCAAAACUGGCAAGCUAGAGUAUGGUAGAGGGUGGUGGAAUUUCCUGUGUAGCGGUGAAAUGCGUAGAUAUAGGAAGGAACACCAGUGGCGAAGGCGACCACCUGGACUGAUACUGACACUGAGGUGCGAAAAAGUGGGGGAGCAAACAGGAUUAGAUACCCUGGUAGUCCACGCCGUAAACGAUGUCAACUAGCCGUUGGGAGCCUUGAGCUCUUAGUGGCGCACUAAACGCAUUAAGUUGACCGCCUGGGGAGUACGGCCGCAAGGUUAAAACUCAAAUGAAUUGACGGGGGCCCGCACAAGCGGUGGAGCAUGUGGUUUAAUUCGAAGCAACGCGAAGAACCUUACCAGGCCUUGACAUCCAAUGAACUUUCCAGAGAUGGAUUGGUGCCUUCGGGAACAUUGAGACAGGUGCUGCAUGGCUGUCGUCAGCUCGUGUCGUGAGAUGUUGGGUUAAGUCCCGUAACGAGCGCAACCCUUGUCCUUAGUUACCAGCACGUAAUGGUGGGCACUCUAAGGAGACUGCCGGUGACAAACCGGAGGAAGGUGGGGAUGACGUCAAGUCAUCAUGGCCCUUACGGCCUGGGCUACACACGUGCUACAAUGGUCGGUACAAAGGGUUGCCAAGCCGCGAGGUGGAGCUAAUCCCAUAAAACCGAUCGUAGUCCGGAUCGCAGUCUGCAACUCGACUGCGUGAAGUCGGAAUCGCUAGUAAUCGCGAAUCAGAAUGUCGCGGUGAAUACGUUCCCGGGCCUUGUACACACCGCCCGUCACACCAUGGGAGUGGGUUGCACCAGAAGUAGCUAGUCUAACCUUCGGGGGGACGGUUACCACGGUGUGAUUCAUGACUGGGGUGAAGUCGUAACAAGGUAGCCGUAGGGGAACCUGCGGCUGGAUCACCUC
rnacentral:rRNA from 1 species